GACGAACGCUGGCGGCGUGCUUAACACAUGCAAGUCGAACGGAAAGGCCCUGCUUUUGUGGGGUGCUCGAGUGGCGAACGGGUGCGUAACACGUGAGUAACCUGCCCUUGACUUUGGGAUAACUUCAGGAAACUGGGGCUAAUACCGGAUAGGAGCUCCUGCUGCAUGGUGGGGGUUGGAAAGUUUCGGCGGUUGGGGAUGGAUUCGCGGCUUAUCAGCUUGUUGGUGGGGUAGUUGCUUACCAAGGCUUUGACGGGUAGCCGGCCUGUGAGGGUGACCGGCGACAUUGGGACUGAGAGACGGCCCAGACUCCUACGGGAGGCAGCAGUGGGGAAUAUUGCACAAUGGGAGGAAGCCUGAUGCAGCAACGCCGCGUGCGGGAUGACGGCCUUCGGGUUGUAAACCGCUUUCGCCUGUGACGAAGCGUGAGUGACGGUAAUGGGUAAAGAAGCACCGGCUAACUACGUG
rnacentral:rRNA from 1 species